rnacentral:lncRNA from 1 species
UAGUGUGGUUUCAUUUUAUUUUGCUUAGCCGUAAUUUCUAUAAUGAGUUGAUUAUGUGAUAAGACAUCAGCAAUAAUAUUUGUUAAGAAAAAAAGUGUGCCCAUGGUCAGUGGGCUCCUUUGCUGUUUGUUGAUUGAAAAUUUCCCUUCCAGGGCCUUCAUGGAAACUGCUCUGGUGUCACAGAAAUAUAUCCAAGGAUGGAGCUAACAAUGCUUGUUCCAUCUGUUUCCAUUUUGUCAUGAAAAUCAAAGGAGGUAGUGGAUGUGAAAUUUUACUGAUUACAUAUAUAGGAUCCAAAUAACAUGCAGUGACAAACCUCCUGCAUAUGGCUGAAUGCUAAGCCACCAGCUACUCCUGCCCUCACAUCUCACAACUUUGCUGCAAGAAAAAACAAAACAGAACAUCUUGGCUAAAACUGCCCACCUCCUUACCCCAAGCUUGAUGCCAGCUGAAGAGUCCCAGGAGACCAGUUGGCUUAGCCCGGGUCAGAGGCCCUGGAUGGGAGUGGAUGAUUGGUAGCCAUCAUUUGCACCUGAUGGUUAGAGUGUGAGAGAAGCAGUCUUCCUGAAGAAGAGAGGUGGUGUCCUCAGAAAAGAGGAAGGGUACAAGGUUGUGAAAGCAAUAAAUGCUCACGCAAAAGAGGGUUGACCCAAGGUCUGGCCUUCUUCUUGCCACUCUCUAGUGAGGGAGCCCUUAGGAAAUUGAUUAUGCUCUCUGUCAAGCGGCAAAAAUAAAACCUGCCCCUGCCUUACGUGGUGAUGUGAGGAACAGAUUACAGAAUAGAUUUAAAGUGGCCUUUCAAAGUUUAAAGUGCGAUACCAAUGAAAGGUAAACUAAGUUAUUCUGGUUCUCUCCCUGCAUUUGGUCAGUUCCUGUAACGCAAACCAUUCUAGGUAGGUUAUAAUCUCAUGAAAGUUCGGAAGCAAGGAUUAAGGCCACUCUCUAGCUCUGUUUGGUUGAGAAACAGCACUAUUUCAGAGAUUUUUUAAAUAGAUAAAAUUGUAUUCAUCACCUGUUAAAUCAUGCAUGAGAUUUACUUGGGGUGAUCCCUGAAAUUUUUUCAAUUAGAAAAAUGUAAAUUACAAAAUACAUUAUUUAUAAUGCACACACGGUUGACUAUGUUUUAGAAUAUUACCUAAAGAAACCACAGAAGAAUAACAACACAAAUACAGAUUCUUUGAUACUAUACUAGUAUACAUGUUCUGCUUCUUCCUUUCAGGUCUAUUUGCAGAGUCUUCCAUUCUUGAGCAAUUUUCUCUGGGGUGACUCUCCGCUACUAUGAAACCUGUGUCUGUUUGACAAUACCUGUGCCCAUUGUGCAGAGUUCUUUGUGGCCCUAUCAUGGGGGACUUCCAUUCUGUACUUGGUUACUUCAGUGUGUCAGCUAGAUCCAGCUGCUCUGCGCUGGUUCAUGUGGGUACCACCUACAUGCAAUGCGUCUCCAUUUAUCUUACUGUCCAUCCAGGUCCAUUGUACCCUUCAAGACUGGUUGAAGCCCACUGCUGUAGGACAUCAGUUCCUCUGGCCCUGUUCCUUUGUGAAGCCUUUUUGUGUUUUGUGUGACUGUGUGAUCUGACUGCAUUCACAGGCACUUCUCACACAUAGCUUUGUGCAUCUUCUCAAAUUGCUACAUGUGUAUGUUUGUCCCUCCAAAGGAUUAAAACCUGAGUGAGUGCCAGCUUUCUCUGCAGGAGGAGUGGGUAGUGACCUUUGGUGCUUCCAGAAGAAAAGCAUGCAGGACAUCAUGGUAAAAGUGGGAUGCGCAGCAGAGACACCCUUGCAACUUCAUCCCGCUGCUCACUUCCCACCUGGGUCCCUGACCUCACUGGAAAUUGGGGUCCAGGGACUGGAAUCCAUUUGCUCUGGCCUUUGUCUCUCUGGGCUGGGUGUGGGGCCGUGAAAGGAUGAGCGCCUCCUGCCCAUGGUUGCAAUGGGAGAUCCAGAGGAUACAUGCUGAAAAUAAUAUCCUGGGGUGAGGGCCAAGGUCAUGGCCAGUGAGUGAGUCCAAACCAUCUCAUAAAUUAAUGCAACUCUUGGAAAACUGGGAGCUGAGUUAAUGGAGCCGAAAUGAGUGGUGUGGAGCCACAGGGAGAGCCACGAGUGUCCAGAGGGAGCCAGUGCCACCGGCCACGCGGCCCAAGACCUUCCAGGGCCUUCCCUUCAUGGUCUUGCAGGCAGCUGGGCCUGCUGGGGCCGGAAGGGAGCUGGGCCCCUCAGACACAGCCGAGGAAAACUUGACUGCUGGUGUGCCAGAUCCGUCCACAGGUCCCCAGGGAUUCCCCAAGUGAAUUCUGUCCUCUAAAGCUCGUCACAAACAGGUAGGAAAUUCUACUCUUUAAUUAUCCUAAUCCCAAACAAGUCAUGAUACUCACAUAGCCAAUUUCAGGUUUAAUCGUGUUACCUUUAUCCAAGUAGAAAUCAAUUCCCAUUUUUGUAUAGCUCUGCAGAACAUCCAGAGUGCUUCAGCGCAGAGCAAGGCCCCAGCAGUUAUGAGUGCUAUCAUCAUAUGGGAAAAAGAAGUUCAUCACUCUGUGUGUGUGUGGAGCGGGAAGGGAUGGGAGGCAAGUUUAUGACAGU